UAUAAAGGAGCCUUCACGAGCUCUUGCUCAACAUGCAGCGAUUACCUCCUGGACAGGCAGAGAAUUUCACAGCCACUAGAUGAUCAAGAUGGUCUACGCCAUUGUGAUGUUCACAACGAUACUCAUUUCUAUAGUUAAGCAAG